rnacentral:rRNA from 1 species
UACGGGGGGGGCAAGCGUUGUUCGGAAUUACUGGGCGUAAAGGGCUCGUAGGCGGCCAACUAAGUCAGACGUGAAAUCCCUCGGCUUAACCGGGGAACUGCAUCUGAUACUGGAUGGCUUGAGUUCGGGAGAGGGAUGCGGAAUUCCAGGUGUAGCGGUGAAAUGCGUAGAUAUCGGGAGGAACACCAGAGGCGAAGGCGGCCACCUGGACAGACACUGACACUCAACUACGAAAGCGUGGGGAGCAAACAGGG